rnacentral:rRNA from 1 species
UACGGAGGGUGCAAGCGUUGUCCGGAUUCAUUGGGUUUAAAGGGUGCGCAGGCGGGACAUUAAGUCAGGGGUGAAAGACGGUUGCUCAACAAUCGCAGUGCCUUUGAUACUGGUGUUCUUGGGUGACGGUGAGGUAGGCGGAAUGGGUGGUGUAGCGGUGAAAUGCAUAGAUACCACCCAGAACUCCGAUUGCGAAGGCAGCCUACUGGUCGUUAACCGACGCUCAGGCACGAAAGCGUGGGGGAUCAAACAGG